rfam:Linderina pennispora strain ATCC 12442 DL89scaffold_12, whole genome shotgun sequence.
GCACUGGUAAUUUAGUGGUAGAAUAGAAGCUUCCCAAGCUUCCAGCCCGGGUUCGAUUCCCGGUCAGUGCA